UCCUACGGGAGGCAGCAGUAGGGAAUCUUCCCCAAUGGACGAAAGUCUGAUGGAGCAACGCCGCGUGAGUGAAGAAGGGUUUCGGCUCGUAAAGCUCUGUUUGUAGUGGAGAAAGAUAGAGGUAGUAACUGGCCUUUAUUUGACGGUAAUUACUUAGAAAGUCACGGCUAACUACGUGCCAGCAGCCGCGGUAAUACGUAGGUGGCAAGCGUUGUCCGGAUUUAUUUGGCGUAAAGCGAGUGCAGGCGGGUCAAGAAGUCUGAUG
rnacentral:rRNA from 1 species